GUCAACGACCAUACCACAAUGAACACACCGGUUCUCGUCCGAUCACCGAAGUUAAGCAUUGUCGGGCGCGGUUAGUACUUGCCC
rnacentral:rRNA from 1 species